rnacentral:rRNA from 1 species
UCCUACGGGAGGCAGCAGUGAGGAAUAUUGGUCAAUGGGUGGAAGCCUGAACCAGCCAAGUCGCGUGAGGGAAUAAGGCCCUACGGGUCGUAAACCUCUUUUGCCGGGGAGCAAGGGCGGGGACGUGUCCCGGCCCGGAGAGUACCCGGAGAAAAAGCAUCGGCUAACUCCGUGCCAGCAGCCGCGGUAAUACGGAGGAUGCGAGCGUUAUCCGGAUUUAUUGGGUUUAAAGGGUGCGUAGGCGGGCUUUUAAGUCAGCGGUAAAAUCGUGGAGCUCAACUCCAUCCAGCCGUUGAAACUGAUGA